GGCAGCGUCCCACAUAGCACAACUAGAAGGACCUGCAACUAGAAUAUGCAACUAUGUACUGGAGGGAUUUGGGGAGAAGAAGAAGAAGAAAAAGAUUGGCAACAGAUGUUAGCUCAGAUUGAUGCAGAUGAGCACAGCAUGACCUUGAGAGCUACGUUUAAAAGGACAGAGCCAUGACAGGGAGGAGCCUGGAUCACCACUUAGAGGAGAGAAGGGAGCUCAGCAGGAGCACCCAGGAACAAGAAUAGAUGUCUCUGGAUUAUAAUAUUCAGAAGCAGGAGAGGAUUCUUUUAUUGGAUCAUAUGUCAUGAUUGUGGGCUCAGAAAACCAGGCCUGUGGGAAUUAUGGAGCCUUUGAUGGUUUGCCCCAAGCUUCUGUCUUUGAAUAAAGGAACCCACAUUUCACAGCCUAGAGGUUGAGAGAAGACCCCCAUACUGCACCCCAGGCCUCUCCCCAACCUCAUUCUCCAAAAAACCCAGCCAGACCUUGCUCACCUCAUAAAAGCUGAUGAAAGACAGACACCUCUCACUGGUGACAUUUUGUAUUUUAUCUUAACUGAAGAAUUUUUCAGUGAAAAUGGAUUUAUCUCCCUACUAAUUUUGGAAAGUCACCAGGAAAUAAAACGUUGAUUACCUGAACAAUUGUACCUAAUUGUUUGCACCAUCAAUAUGACACUAACAUUACUUCAAAACUUAAGGUAUUACAGGACCAAUAAAGGGAACAACGUAUGAUCUCUAAUGAUCCAGUAAAAAUGAUGCAAAUAUUGCAACAGGAGGGAGCUGAGUAACAUUCAUGUUUCCCUGCCACCAGAGCGAGCGUUGAAGAGACCAAGAAAAAGUCGAGGAAAUUAUUUAGAAUUGGUGUGUUAAAAGUUAACGACUUCAAGCAAGCCUUUUAAAAGCGCUCCACCACC
rnacentral:lncRNA from 1 species